UGGAAUAUGCUUGUUUCAAAGAUUAAGCCAUGCAUGUCUGAGCAUGCGCUGAAGUAAAGUGAAGCCGCGAAUAGCUCAUUACAACAGCCGUUGUUUCUUGGAUCUCUUCUCUACUUGGAUAACUGUGGUAAUUCUAGAGCUAAUACAUGCAAGCAAGCCCUGAUCGUGAGUGACGGGCGCAUUUAUUAGAACAAGACCAUCCGGCCUCGUGCCGUAACUUGGUGACUCUGAAUAACUGAGCGGAUCGCACGGGCUUGUCCCGGCGACGUAUCUUUCAAGUGUCUGCCUUAUCAGGUUUCGUUGGCGGUUUAUGUGACCGCCAAGCCUGUAACGGGUAACGGAGGAUCAGGGUCUGACUCCGGAGAGGGAGCCUGAGAAACGGCUACCACUUCUAAGGAAGGCAGCAGGCGCGCAAAUUACCCAUUCUUGGCUCAAGGAGGUAGUGACGAAAAAUACCAAGGUCAGGCUCAUCGAGCUUGACCAUUGGAAUGAGAACAAUCUAAAUCCUUUAACGAGGAUCUAGU
rnacentral:rRNA from 1 species